rnacentral:lncRNA from 1 species
UCUUUGCAGGUCUGCUUUAAUUACAAGCUACAAAUAGUGGCUCAUGGAUUCCUUUUCAUUCACUGGAUUUGUAGUGUUUCAUUGGAAUAGUCUUGGCCAAAGUUUUACUGUUCUUAUUUUUGAAACCAUUUAUUAGUUUGAGUAAGAUUCUUAAUUUGUUUGUGUUCUAUCGGAUUUUAAACUUUUCUGCUAUAUAUUGAGUUUUUUUUUUCAUUCAUGUUUUCAUUGAAUAAUUGGGUGUAAUGUUACCCAGAAAAUCCUAAGUACUUUGAUGGUAUCUCAAUUUAGAAGCAUUGUUAUACUUUUAUACCAAAAAUAGAGUCAUGCACUUACCAUUGGCAGGACAAGGGAUACUGGAAUAUAUAAUUUUUUGUUGGUAUAUUUCAAUUUGAUUGCUGCGUUCAAUAAAUAAAUAUAAGUGUUAGUGUCCAUUAAUAUAACUUGAUUCCUUACUAUAGCGAGAGUUAGUUAGGUGCAUAGCUUGACUGUAUUUGAAAACUCCUCAUUGGAUGGAUUUAAUUUUUUGAUUGUGAAAGUGAGCACUUAAAGUGUUUGUGAGGAAAUGUUUCAAUAUGAAAAAUUAAUGGCUUUGUGGUCUUAUUUUAUAUGAAAUAUAUCUACAAAUUUCAUGAUAUGUAUUAGUCUUUUUAUGUGUCUUGAAGGUAUUUUUGAAGACAUUAGAGUGCAAAAUCAAUAUCAUUUAUGUUACUGGAGAAAUUUCUAAUUAUUACAUGUUCAUGCAAAGUAGUGAGUUACAAGAAAAUGUAAGGAGACUAUUGUUUUUCCUCUUUGAAAGUUAAAGUUUAGAAUACAUUUUCUUACAAAUGUUAAAAGCUACAUUAUCCUCGAUGACAUUUAAUUCAAGGUUAUUAAUUUCCCCAAAUCUCAAACAUUAUGUUCUAAUAUUUCUCAUAUUUUUGUUUUGUUAUCAAUUUACUGAUUGAUAAAAUUUUCUGCAGAGGUUGAAGUUGGAUUUUGAGCUUAUAGCUUGCUAACCGAAGACUAGAUCAUGAUACUAUCAAACAAUAAUGACUAUAGGCAAGAUAUAUAGAGUAGGAGCAGCUUGCAUAUUUGUUAUAGAUAGAUGCAUCUUUCAAUAUAAGAGACUUUUCUUGGUUAAUCGAUGUUAGGAAGAAUCUCAAUGCUAGCUAAUGGCAAUCUAUCAUAAUCCAUUUACUUGAUAUUUCAUUGUUAUUCAAGUGCAUUGAAACUUUUUUAGCCAUAUGAUCUACUUUUGAUCGUUUUAUAUAUGAUUUGUAGCAUAACUAAAAUUGUUAAUAGCUAUGUAAAUUCAAAAAACACGGGGUGCACCGAAAGGGUUAUGUCUAUGCGUAUAUCAACUUUGUAAAUAUUAUAGAAUGAUUGUGUUAUGUAUCUUUAUUAUAAUUAAGUUCCAAUUGUUAUAUUUAGAAAAAACAGGGGGAGCGUCCCAUAAGGGUUAUUUUAUGAUGUAGUUGUAUUAUGUGAAUUAACAUAUGUCUAAAUUUGUUAUUGAAG